rnacentral:misc_RNA from 1 species
CAGAGUUGCAAGACUCCCUAAACCAUUGUGAACCUACCUUCUACCGUUGCUUCGGCGGGCGGGCCCAGCGCCCCCCCGGCCCCCCGCGGGCGCCCGCCAGAGGACCCCUAAACUCUGUUUCUAUAUGUAACUUCUGAGUAAAACCAUAAAUAAAUCA